UGCGUAGGCGGCCAUCUAAGUCAGACGUGAAAUCCCCCGGCUUAACCUGGGAACUGCGUCUGAUACUGGACGGCUUGAGUAUGGGAGAGGGAUGUAGAAUUCCAGGUGUAGCGGUGAAAUGCGUAGAUAUCUGGAGGAAUACCGGUGGCGAAGGCGGCAUCCUGGACCAUUACUGACACUGAACCGCGAAAGCUAGGGGAGCAAACG
rnacentral:rRNA from 1 species